GAUGAACGCUAGCUACAGGCUUAACACAUGCAAGUCGCGGGGCAGCAUGGGGGUUGCUUGCAACUCCCGAUGGCGACCGGCGCACGGGUGAGUAACGCGUAUCCAACCUGCCCUUCACCACGGGAUAACCCGGCGAAAGUCGGACUAAUACCGUAUGUUGUCCAUUGACGGCAUCCGAUUUGGACGAAAGGCUUUGCGGGGAAGGAUGGGGAUGCGUCCGAUUAGCCAGACGGCGGGGUAACGGCCCACCGUGGCUACGAUCGGUAGGGGUUCUGAGAGGAAGGUCCCCCACACUGGAACUGAGACACGGUCCAGACUCCUACGGGAGGCAGCAGUGAGGAAUAUUGGUCAAUGGGCGUAAGCCUGAACCAGCCAAGUAGCGUGCAGGAUGACGGCCCUAUGGGUUGUAAACUGCUUUUAUGCGGGGAUAAAGUGGCCCACGUGUGGGCUUUUGCAGGUACCGCAUGAAUAAGGACCGGCUAAUUCCGUG
rnacentral:rRNA from 1 species